rnacentral:rRNA from 1 species
AUGUCAGAGUCAAAUAAACAAGCUUGGAGUGUCACCAAACCAUCUUCAGAAAAGUGGCAUCGACGCUUAGGUCAUCCAUCUUCAGUUAUAGUUCAGCAUGUCAUUAGCAAGAAUAAACUUCCUUUUGUGUCUAGUAUUGAGUCAGUUUGUGAUGCGUUUCAACAAGCAAAAAGUCAUCAAUUACCAUACCCCAUCUCUACUAGUGUAUCUACUGCUCCGUUACAACUUAUUUUCUCAGAUGUUUGGGGACCAGCCCCCACUUCAGUCGGUAGAUUUUCCUAUUAUGUAAGCUUUAUUGAUGACUAUAGCAAGUUUACUUGGAUUUAUUUG